rnacentral:rRNA from 1 species
GACGAACGCUGGCGGCGUGCUUAACACAUGCAAGUCGUACGGUAAGGCCCUUUCGGGGGUACACGAGUGGCGAACGGGUGGGUAACACGUGAGUAACCUGCCCACAACUUUGUGAUAACGCUAGUAAACUGGUUCUAAUACUGGAUAUGUGCUCCUGCUGCAUGGUGGGGGUGGGAAAGCUCGGGCGGGUGUGGAUGGACUUGCGGCCUAUCAGCUUGUUGGUGGGGGAGGGGCCUACCAAGGCGGCGACGGGUAGGCGGCCGGGGAGGGGGAACGGCCAAAUUGGGGCUGGGGGAAGGCCCCGACUCCCACGGGGGGCAGCGGUGGGGAAUAUUGCACAAUGGGCGCAAGCCUGAUGCCGCAACGCCGCGUGCGGGAUGACGGCCUUCGGGUUGUAAACCGCUUUCAGCAGGGACGAAGCUUUUUGUGACGGUACCUGCAGAAGAAGCACCGGCUAACUACGUG